rnacentral:rRNA from 1 species
UACGUAGGCAGCAAGCGUUGUUCGGAGUUACUGGGCGUAAAGGGCUCGUAGGCGGUCUGUUGCGUCGGGAGUGAAAACUCAGGGCUUAACCCUGAGCCUGCUUCCGAUACGGGCAGACUAGAGGUAUGCAGGGGGAGAACGGAAUUCCUGGUGUAGCGGUGGAAUGCGCAGAUAUCAGGAGGAACACCGAGUGGCGAAGGCAGUUCUCUGGGCCGUAACUGACGCUGAGGAGCGAAAGCGUGGGGAGCGAACAGG